CCUUCUUCCAUCAAUUCUUUCUCAUCCAAUGAAUUUGCAAACAUUCCAAACUGUGUGCUACCCCCAUCCUUAUCUCGGGAUUACGAACGAAUCUUGAGAAAACCAAAUUUUACGCAGAUUUACUCGCCUGUCGACUACCGCAGAUAACCGAAAAUGAUGUAUGCCUUAAACCCCUCAGUCUUUAAACUUCUAGUUAUUUUUCUAAUUUUCUAUGGAUCUACGUAUCUCUAUAUCAUUGUCCAACUUGCUAUAUUUGUGCGACAUCGUAUUCCCGAAUACCUGCGUUUUCUUGUGUAGUUUACUUCAGGAAUUUAUGUGAUAAACUUGCAGAGAUUGGUUCGGUGAGAAAAUAUUUACGUCUACAUCGAAUGUAACAACAGUCGACACCGAGAAUAUCAUCUGUAUCACUUUCCGAAAGAAGACAAUGCCCUUCAUAAAGAAUGAACUUGAAAAGUUGGUAUUCUCUUCCUAAAAUAUUAUACCAGCGUCACUUUGAGAAGCAUGGAUGUCCGUGUCGAUCAUUAUUUACUCGAAGUCAUCAAACAAAAUCAUACAAAAAAUACGAAUAGAUGAAAAAGCAUGCUGUAUCGGCACAACCAACAAUUUUAUUACAAAAUAAACGUUAAAGAGAAGAUGUACAAGAAAGACAGCACGCUAUUAAAAACAGCUGACCAGAAGAGAAGGGCAAGAGCAAGCAGCUCGUCAUGAAUACAACUACUACCGCUACCAACAAUGGCAAGAGGCGGAUGAGGGAGAGAUAAAAUAAGAAGAAGCAAAAAAUGAAUUAUUUGUUAAUAUAUCAAUCCUAGACUAUACAAGAGUAUUGUUAUGACAACAAGAACUCAAUUGAACGGCUAGCAAUUCAAUCACUGACAAGCUGCGACGUUCAAAUUAAGGAAUGCCUAGGGAAAACAUUCCGAGAAACAGAAUUGCAAAACGAAAAUGCGCGGUUUCUUGUAUAUACUAAAUUACGACACAACAGGUUAGAUCUUUAAUUUCAUAGAUCCUUUUGCACGUUAAUCUCAGUUGAACUCCAAUUUCAUCUCUGUUCGUAACCAUGGACUACAUAUGUAGCGGCACGAUACCAUUCGCACGAUGACACGAACUGCUUAUUCGCGACAUAAUACCGUUUGUAUACUGUUGCGGGAGAUGUUAUCUGCCGACACAAUAUUCGUACUACACCAUCGUUGAGAUGUGCCAUGAGUGUGUUUCUUUAUAAUUACAACUUUUGUUAUAAUAAACAAAUGCACUAGGUAUCUCGUCCAUGACGUAGUGUGACUGUGAACGAUAUUGUAUCAUAAUCGCGAAAUGAUUCAGUCGUAUUAUCGUGUCAACAAUAUCGUAUCGUAAUAGAUCUUGUCCAUGGUUAAAAGUAAAUUAACACUAACCCUACCAGACCCGUGCAAAUGAUCAUUUCAAAAUAUUAAUUUAAAAUUGUACAUUCAUUGUUAUUUAUUUCGUUCAUCUAACUUUUGCAAACAUUCUAAUAUUAACACAAAUUAAGAAAUUAAUUGGUCAGAUAAUAUAAGAAUUUACUUAACGUCAGAUGAACAAAAAGAUAAGAAUGAAUGUGUAACUUUAGAUUAAGCAUUGAAGCCGAUCAUUUAACCGGAUCUUUUUAAAAAGAUUGAAAUCGAACAAUGUAAACUUAUGAAUCAAUAUUGUUCAAAGUUGUCGUAAUUUAGUUCGUUUUCAAUUCCGUAUUUAAAUCAGCACAAAUUUUACCAGAGACGAAAGAGAGAU
rnacentral:lncRNA from 11 species